rnacentral:rRNA from 1 species
UACGGGGGGGGCAAGCGUUGUUCGGAAUUACUGGGCGUAAAGGGCGCGUAGGCGGUUUGCUAAGUUGGAUGUGAAAACUCUGGGCUUAACCCAGAGCCUGCAUCCAAAACUGGCGAACUGGAGUACUGGAGGGGAAAGCGGAAUCCCUGGUGUAGCGGUGAAAUGCGUAGAUAUCAGGAGGAACACCGGUGGCGAAGGCGGCUUUCUGGACAGUAACUGACGCUGAGGCGCGAAAGCUAGGGGAGCAAACAGG